UCAUCUUCGGGGGUAGAGCACUGUUUCGGCUAGGGGGUCAUCCCGACUUACCAACCCGAUGCAAACUACGAAUACCGAAGAAUGUUAUCACGGGAGACACACGGCGGGUGCUAACGUCCGUCGUGAAGAGGGAAACAACCCAGACCGCCAGCUAAGGUCCCAAAGUCAUGGUUAAGUGGGAAACGAUGUGGGAAGGCACAGACAGCCAGGAUGUUGGCUUAGAAGCAGCCAUCAUUUAAAGAAAGCGUAAUAGCUCACUGGUCGAGUCGGCCUGCGCGGAAGAUGUAACGGGGCUAAACCAUGCACCGAAGCUGCGGCAGCGACACUAUGUGUUGUUGGGUAGGGGAGCGUUCUGUAAGCCUGCGAAGGUGACCUGUGAGGGUUGCUGGAGGUAUCAGAAGUGCGAAUGCUGACAUAAGUAACGAUAAAGCGGGUGAAAAGCCCGCUCGCCGGAAGACCAAGGGUUCCUGUCCAACGUUAAUCGGGGCAGGGUGAGUCGACCCCUAAGGCGAGGCCGAAAGGCGUAGUCGAUGGGAAACAGGUUAAUAUUCCUGUACUUGGUGUUACUGCGAAGGGGGGACGGAGAAGGCUAUGUUAGCCGGGCGACGGUUGUCCCGGUUUAAGCAUGUAGGCUGGUUAUCCAGGCAAAUCCGGAUAAUCAAGGCUGAGGUGUGAUGACGAGGCACUACGGUGCUGAAGUAACAAAUGCCCUGCUUCCAGGAAAAGCCUCUAAGCAUCAGGUAACAUCAAAUCGUACCCCAAACCGACACAGGUGGUCAGGUAGAGAAUACCAAGGCGCUUGAGAGAACUCGGGUGAAGGAACUA
rnacentral:rRNA from 1 species